UACGGGGGGGGCAAGCGUUGUUCGGAAUUACUGGGCGUAAAGGGCGCGUAGGCGGUCUGACAAGUGGAAGGUGAAAUCCCCGCGCUUAACGUGGGAACUGCCUUCCAAACUGUUUGACUUGAGUCCGGGAGAGGUGAGUGGAAUUCCCUGUGUAGCGGUGAAAUGCGUAGAUAUUGGGAGGAACACCAGUGGCGAAGGCGGCUCACUGGACCGGAACUGACGCUGAGGCGCGAAAGCGUGGGGAGCAAACAGG
rnacentral:rRNA from 1 species